UCAAUCAAAAUAUUGGAUUUAAACGCGUUUUAGAUAAAAAUCAGUUUUAGAAUAUUUUUAAAAUCAAAAUAAAAAUAACCAUGAGUAAACAGACUCAUUCUUUAUCUCUUCCUCUUAUUAAUUUCUCGUUAGUUUCAUUAAUUUUCUUAACUUCUUAUUGGUAACCACUCACUUUUUAUUUGCAUGUUCCAUUUAUGUUUAUCAAAAGUAUUCUACUAGAUACUAUUCUCCUACUC
rnacentral:lncRNA from 1 species